rnacentral:rRNA from 1 species
UACGUAGGGUGCAAGCGUUAAUCGGAAUUACUGGGCGUAAAGCGUGCGCAGGCGGUGAUGUAAGACAGUUGUGAAAUCCCCGGGCUCGACCUGGGAACUGCAUCUGUGACUGCAUCGCUGGAGUGCGGCAGAGGGGGAUGGAAUUCCGCGUGUAGCAGUGAAAUGCGUAGAUAUGCGGAGGAACACCGAUGGCGAAGGCAAUCCCCUGGGCCUGCACUGACGCUCAUGCACGAAAGCGUGGGGAGCAAACAGG